rnacentral:sRNA from 1 species
GCCAGGCGCGGAGGUGCAUGCCUGUCAUCCCAGCAGCUCGGGAGGCUGAGGCAGGAGGAUCGCGAGUUCAAAGCCAGCCUCAGCCACUGAGCAAGGCCCUAAGCAAUUUAAUGAGACCCUGUCUCUA